CUCGCCUUAGCUCAGUGGUAGAGCGGCGGACUGUAGUUCCGUAGGUCACUCGUUCGAAUCGGGUAGGUGAGA
rnacentral:tRNA from 1 species